rnacentral:rRNA from 1 species
UGGGGGAUAUUGCACAAUGGGCGAAAGCCUGAUGCAGCGACGCCGCGUGGGGGAUGAAGGCCUUCGGGUUGUAAACUUCUUUUGCUCUGAACAAGGCAUGCUAAUGGGUGUGUUGAGUGUAGGGGUUGAUUAGCGCCGGCUAACUACGUGCCAGCAGCCGCGGUAAUACGUAGGGCGCGAGCGUUGUCCGGAAUUAUUGGGCGUAAAGGGCUUGUAGGUGGCUGGUUGCGUCUGCCGUGAAAGCUCAUGGCUUAACUGUGGGUUUGCGGUGGGUACGGGCUGGCUUGAGUGCAGUAGGGGAGGCUGGAAUUCCUGGUGUAGCGGUGGAAUGCGCAGAUAUCAGGAGGAAUACCGGUGGCGAAGGCGGGUCUCUGGGCUGUUACUGACACUGAGGAGCGAAAGCAUGGGGAGCGAACAGG